rnacentral:lncRNA from 1 species
GCAGACAUGAGAUAGAGAGGAAAUAAAGAUAGUUUGAGAGGUUCUUUCUGUUUGUGUAAAAUCAUAGAGUUUAACGUGUUUCAUAUUAUUAUUAGUUUUUAUUGUUCUCGUUAAUAUAAUUAUAGUUAAUAUUUGCAUAAUAAAAUGUAUACCUAUCAUAUAUAACUAUUAACCUAUUAAAAAAUGUUGAAGUACAUUAAUUAUCCUAAGAAAACAAUCAAACACAU